GACGAACGCUGGCGGCGUGCCUAAUACAUGCAAGUAGAACGCUGAAGGAGGAGCUUGCUUCUCUGGAUGAGUUGCGAACGGGUGAGUAACGCGUAGGUAACCUGCCUGGUAGCGGGGGAUAACUAUUGGAAACGAUAGCUAAUACCGCAUAAGAGUAGAUGUUGCAUGACAUUUGCUUAAAAGGUGCAAUUGCAUCACUACCAGAUGGACCUGCGUUGUAUUAGCUAGUUGGUGAGGUAACGGCUCACCAAGGCAACGAUACAUAGCCGACCUGAGAGGGUGAUCGGCCACACUGGGACUGAGACACGGCCCAGACUCCUACGGGAGGCAGCAGUAGGGAAUCUUCGGCAAUGGACGGAAGUCUGACCGAGCAACGCCGCGUGAGUGAAGAAGGUUUUCGGAUCGUAAAGCUCUGUUGUAAGAGAAGAACGAGUGUGAGAGUGGAAAGUUCACA
rnacentral:rRNA from 1 species